GACGUAGGUGGCAAACGUUAUCCGGAAUUCUUGGGCGUAAAGGGUGCGUAGAUGGCCUGAUAAGUUAGCAGUGGGAAAUCGAGGCUCAACCUCGUGGAAGCUGGUAAUACUGUCAGGCUCGAGUGCAGGAGAGGUUAACGGAACUCCAUGUGGAGCGGUAAAAUGUGUAGAUAUAUGGAAGAACACCAAUAACGGCGAAGGCAGUUAACUAUUCUGUUACUGACAUUGAGGCACGAAAGCGUGGGGAGCAAAACGG
rnacentral:rRNA from 1 species